rnacentral:rRNA from 1 species
GAUGAACGCUGGCGGCGUGCCUAAUACAUGCAAGUCGAGCGAACAGACGAGGAGCUUGCUCCUCUGACGUUAGCGGCGGACGGGUGAGUAACACGUGGAUAACCUACCUAUAAGACUGUGAUAACUUCGGGAAACCGGAGCUAAUACCGGAUAAUAUAUUGAACCGCAUGGUUCAAUAGUGAAAGACGGUUUUGCUGUCACUUAUAGAUGGAUCCGCGCCGCAUUAGCUAGUUGGUAAGGUAACGGCUUACCAAGGCAACGAUGCGUAGCCGACCUGAGAGGGUGAUCGGCCACACUGGAUCUGAGACACGGUCCAGACUCCUACGGGAGGCAGCAGUAGGGAAUCUUCCGCAAUGGGCGAAAGCCUGACGGAGCAACGCCGCGUGAGUGAUGAAGGUCUUCGGAUCGUAAAACUCUGUUAUUAGGGAAGAACAAAUGUGUAAGUAACUAUGCACGUCUUGACGGUACCUAAUCAGAAAGCCACGGCUAACUACGUG